GUUCCAUCUCAGAUCAUACCGGCCAUUAGAUUCUCAUAAGGAGCACGCGACCUAGAUCCCUCACAUGUCCAGUUCACAAUAGGGUUUGUGCUCCUGAGAAUCUGAUGCCCCUGCUGAUCUGACAAGAGGUGGAGCUCAGGUGGUAAUGCUCACUUGCCUGCUGCUCACCUCCUGUUGGGUGACCCGGUUCCUAGCAGGCCAGGGGCCAGUAUUAGUCUGUAGCCCGGGGGGUUGGAGAGCCCUAAUACGGAAGACCUGUUACCCUGAUCUUGGUAUCAUAUUCCAGGCCUAGGAAACUAAACUGGUAAAGACAAGCAAACUCCCUAUUUCAGACAUCAGGCCUGGGAAUAGACUGUUUGUAAAAUGGUACCUGAAGAAUAUAAUGAUUUCAGCAGCUGUGCUUUGGGUGAACUUUCUUCCCUCCGAUUUUGGCUAAUAUCUUGAUGGCUUUUUUACAGCUUCUGAUACCACAGCUCAUUAGCACUUAGUGAAAACAUCUAUACUGAAUUCUUACCUUCCUGAGUCUAACUUAACUUCUGGUGACUUGGGGGUGAAGAGAGAGGGGGCUGACAAUAUUUAAUUUGGAAUGGGCUGAGAUAUAUUUUUGUGGGUAGAUAUUUUUCUCUGCAGGAUUGACCACCUAAAUGUUCAAGAGCUACAAAUGAAGAAUGACAUGCUUCCCAUGCCAUUGGCAAGGCCUCAAGGGUCUCAAUAAAGCAUCACUUAAUAUUCAUGAGGUUUCUUUCAUGCAUGCCCUCCUUAGUCUCAGGCUACAGAGCGGGUUAGGUGGAGGUGCUUAUGAAGUACUCUCUGAUGAACAGAAGCAUAAAUCUUGAGUUUAAUUAGUAAUGCUAUUCAGCUCCAAGACGAGCUGACAUGCCCUUUGUAGGGCUUUGAGUUGGUAAAGCCAGGGGAUCAAUAUCACUUUAAAGGUUGUUUCUCUCUGUUCACACAUAGAGCACAACAAAGGAAAGAAUUCUUCUAGGAAACAGCAGAGAGAUCAGUUUCUUCAAAAGUGGGUGAAGAUGUAGACAAUGACCAUUUUUCACAACAAACAUCAGCAGAACAAUUUUGUGUUUUAAACACAGAUUUAAUGGGUGGGUUUGUGUGAAUGUGUGCAUUUGGCAAAGUUCUCAAGAGCUGUUCUUUCUUCAUGGGGGAAGAAAAGAAACUCUCAGCAAAGGCCAAGGAAACUAUUUCAGCUAAGAAAGGAACUGCAAUGGUUUGUAAUGUAACUCAUGAAAUAAUUGUAGCCAGAGCCAGAAAAUGCAGUCAUUGGGAAAGCCUCAGUAAGAAUAAGACUGUGAGGGGCCCCAGACAGCUGUGCUUUCAUCUUUACCAUCUCUACUACAGGAAAAUGACCUUACAACGACUUUCAAGACCUAUAUUUCUUUAUGAAAGAAACUAUUAGCGGGAAUAAGAAAAUUAUAGACGGGGCCUAAAAAUGGAAUAGAAGAGGAAGUUCUUUUGAGUUUACUUAGAAAGAAAAUAAUUAAACUCCUUUGAAAUUAUCUUUUAUCUUAAAGUACAAAAGAGGCCCUUGGGGAGGGAAGAGACCAUAAGCAGGACACAUGGUCAGAUCAGGCCUUCACAGGCCAAUUGCUGAAACAGAUGAAAUUAAAAGCCAUUGAUUUAAUUAGGUCACCUUAGCACUUUGAUCAGGGAGACCAUUUACCAAGUGUGACGUUGCUCGAUAUUUGGCUAUUACAACAGAAAGAAGAAAAGACGGAUCAGUGGUUGAAGAAGCGCUCAUGGAUAUGCACAGAGACAAAGUGUAUAAUGAGCAAGUAUCCCAGGGUUCUUUGCCUCGUGACCAAGAAAAUUAAGGAGCGUGGACACAAAGGGUGAGGUUGGAAUGAAUGUUUAAUAAGCAAAAGAAGAAAGCUCCCAACCAAGGAGAGAGGGCCCAAAACAGGGUUGCCAACUAUGAGGCUGAGUCCAGGGUAUGAAUGGACUGGGAAGGGGAGGAAUGUGCUGACUGGUCUGCAGGCUGUUUUGGAGAAAGCACCACUUAGAAAGAGGUAUCAUAGUGUAAAGAACCAAUUGGAGGCAAAGGCGAAGGUUUGGCUUGGGACCUUGGCCUGGGACCAAUCAGAGGCUGAAGUGAUGACUCAACCUAUGUAAAUGAAGACUUAGCCCACUGCCAAUUACAGAAAGGUAGGCAUAUGUAAAAUAGGUGAAAAGUAAGAAACCAGUAGGUGAAAAUAAGUGACUAAGGCAUGCCAAGGAGAGAGAAACAUGUCCAAAUAGGGGUAGAAUUUGUUCAUCUGGGUUUACCGAGUAAGUGUUUCCAUUCAAGGAUGCAGUCUCUUUCUUAUCUGGGGCCCGCAGUUUGAUUUUCAGGCUGUUCUUUGUUUGAAUGAAUUUUUACCAGGGACUCACCCUAACUGCCUGCCUGACUGGUUUCUUACUUUCUCCUCUCUCAUUAAGAGAGUUUAGGACCCUACAAAUAUUUCCCAAAUAACCAUUUAUAAAGGAAUAGAGACAUUGUGCAUUUGCUUUUCCCCGGCUAUAAGAAGGUAGUUAAGGCAAGACACUGGUACUUAGACAAAAGAGAGAGAGAAGAGGAGAAAGGGGAAGAAGAGGAGAGAGGAAAGAAGGAAAGAAAGGGUUGAGGGUGGGGAAAAGAGAGAACUAUAAAUUCUUUCUUAAAUUUCAGCUAGGGCUAGUAAAUUUUCUUUUUUUGAAAACUGAAUAAUUUUAUUUGCAGAAUUAAUGGCAAGAUUUUUGCUUUGUAAAAAGGGCCAGCCUACAUAGAUACUUAAUUUAUAACCUGGAACUGAGAGGCCUUUCCUGAACAACUCUAUCUAAAAUAUUUCACCCUCUCCCAUCCUUGGUCCUCCACCAUAAUCCACUGCCCCAUGAUGUGUUUCAUUGUUUUCACCAGGCACUUGGCACCACCUAACAUUACAUGACGGUGCUUAUGUGUUUGUUGAUUGUUGGUCUUGCACCCAGAAUACCAGCUCCAUGAGGCCAGGUGUGCUGUGUGCUGGUUCACCAGCACCAGGUAGACCGUGGGCAUCAAGGUUCAUGUGAACAGGGGAACCCAGCAAGGCUGGACCCCUGCAGUGGUGAUUUCUCCUGAAAGGCACGUGGAUGGGUGGUGUUGACCAAACAGCUGUGAUUACAUUUUCUCUCAGGAAGUCUGAAUCCAGGACACUUACUUACUCAAAGGCAAUUCUCUCCAAAAAUUACUUUUUUGUGAAAACCUGUUUCAGGGCUUGAUUCACAUGUUGUUCGUGGCAGAGAAUGAAGUGUCUCUUUUCUCUUCCUUAGUGCUGUGUUUUCUUCCUAUGAAAAGAAAAAAAGAAAAGACUCCAGAUGGAGAGCCUCAAAUUGUCGGCAGAUUUGAAACUCCCCUGGAAUUUGUAUUGGUGAUGCAGAGUUUGGUGCAGACUGACAAUACGCAGCUGUGAUUCUUUUAAACAACACUGGACUCUAGGUGACCAUCAUGCUUCCUGGGGGCAGCUGCACACAAGUCAGUAUAAAGCGGAGAAAGUAACACCAGUAGGUUAAGAUAACAGUGACACAGCAAAAGAGGAAGACCCUAUUUAAGAAGUGGUACAACCCAUGGGAAUUUAAAAACAGGCCCUCAGCCAACUGGAGAGUGCCUACUCACAUUGAAGGUGGAUAUUCUCCACUCAGCCCACUGACUUACAUGCCAGUCUCCUCUGCAAACGUCCUCACACCUCGGGCAGCCCAAUCAUUUAACCAAACUCCAAGUCACCUGGCUUUGAGGAACAAGUUCAGUGCCUACUGAAGUAGUAAGAAUAAAUAAUGUUUUGCCAGCUAUCUGGGUGUCCCUUAAUCUGGUCAAGUUGAUACCCAAAACCAACCAUCACACCCUGGCACAAAGCAAGCUGGGACCUCAAUACCCUGUGUCACUGGGGAGGACUUAAGAGUUUUAAGUCUAGAUUUGAUGGGGCAGUACUGAAAGAGAGAAGGGACUAAUGACUAAUCCAGUCAACCCUUCAUGAGCAACUGAAUUGUCAGAGGUACAAUGUAGAGAGGGCAUGAAAUGUGCAGAUGGAAUUCAGCAACCCUGGUGCAGAGGAGUCCGUGGUAGGAAUCCAGGAAUCAAGUAACAAACAAAUAUAGCAAGUGGCACCACAUUUCUAGGCAUAUAAAGAAAUAAUAACACCUAGAAUUUGUAAACAAUUUGCUAAGCUCAGGGCUAAGGGCGUCACAAAUCUUGUGAAGCUAGCCAGUGAGAGAGGUACUAUUUUUAUCCCCCAUUUCUAGAUGGAUAAAUUGCAGUUCAGAAAUUGUAACCCCAUUGGUACUUGCCAGGUAGGGAUAUAAACCAAAGCUCAAGCGUUUCACCCUGUACAGUCUGAUUCUUCAACCUUCACCCCACCCCUUCCACAUUAGAUACCUGCAAUACAGUUAGGAAUGGUUUUUACUGGUCUUAGUCAAUCAUGGUGAUUCAUUAACCAGUGGUGGUUCAGGAACUUAGACCAGUCAGCAUCUAGCCUUUCCCUACUAAAAUUAUUGAUUCAAGAAGAGCAUAUGACUUAAAUUGGUCCAAGGAAAUGAACAGGAAGAACUUGGGCUCCAAAGAUCAGUGAGAAAUGUUGAUUUUCCCUCUGGAAGUGAACAGAGAAGCACAUGACACCAAUUGUUACUCAAAGCAACCAUACUACUAAGUAGAGCAUUUACCUUAGGAUGAAGUCUUCUUUGUGGAUUGCUGUGUGGAGAGACAGAGGGACCAUUGUUUAUUGAUGACAUAAUUAAGCAGGAGGAUCAACAAGAUUUGUGGCUGUCCUACCUCUGGAUUUUGUUUUGUAUGAGCCAAGAAAUAUCCUAUCUGUUUAAAUUGCUUUGAAUUGAGUCACCAUUUCCUGCAACUGAAAACACUGUAACCAAUAUCUACUCCAUGGGACCUCCUCAGAAAAACAAGGGAGGAGUAAUACAAACCCAUAUAGAUGAUAUCCUUCAUGUGAGCCAUUCCUUAAUACGCCCUUUCAUAGAUGAGAAGGGCAAAGUCCAGCAAAGUUGAGUAAUUUGUCUUAGGUGACACAGCUAGUAAUUGUUAAGGCUGGACUUUGUUCCUCUGAGUAUCUGACACCAAAGUCUGUAUGCUUUCCAAUAUGCACAAUGAAAAUCUUGGCCAGUAAUGAAAGGUAUGCAGAUCAUAUUCCAGUCCCAUGCAGAAGUUAGUCAAAGGUUCACUGAAGAUAAAGUCUAAUAAGUAAUCUGGUUUUCACAGCAGAAUGCCAGUCACAGCAAGGGACUUGUGUGCUGGGCAGAGAGAGCCUCUUGUAUGGCUGGGCCAACAUGGCAGGAGAAGGGAAAGGCUGUGAUUCAGAGGCUAAUCCCCAGCACAUUGGACACUUGGUGGAAGGCCAAGCGUGACCUUCAGACUCUACCAGCUGCUGUGUGUGAGGCUACUGAUCACCCUUCCUGCCCUGGUCAGGCCUGGCUCAGCCACCAGUGGGGAGCAGAGCAGCUCAAAUGAAACAUCUGGAAAAGACAGAAGAUGGUAAAAAGAAAAAAGGAGAAAGAAAAAAAAAGGGAGGAGAGUGAAUCCAUAGAUAUUAGGAACAUAGUGAUUAUGAAUAUAAUAAAAAGUGACUCCAAACUCUUGGCUUAUCAGGAUGUACCAGUCCUCUCUUGCCAAUACUGUACUAUGUGCAAGUUUUGAUUACCUGUUUCGAGGUGAGUUUUUACAUAUAUUAUUUUCCUAAAACUGGUUGCCAUUCUGUCCUAAUUUCUUGCUCAAAAUUUAUAUUUGCAUCUGAAAACUCAAAGUACCAUGGCACCUGGCUACCUUUCCCAAUCUGUUCCUGUUCCAGAGCUGCACAUAUGGCUGCUGACGUUGAAGACAGCACUUUAUUUUAGGGGGUGCCAGUCACAUGGCUUCCCCUCGAAUGGUGCAGUGUACAAUCUGCACAACCAUACCCAGUAGUCUUGCCUGGUUCUCUUAGUUCCUUAUGCAAAAUUGGUCUAAAACUUUUUAAAUGUCAUGUUUUUGCCAGAUGUGGUGGCUCAUGCCUGUAAUCUCAGUGCUUUGGGAGACAAAGAUGGGAGGAUCACUUGAGGCCAGAGUUCAAGACCAGCCUGGGUAACAUAGCCAGGUCCACCCUCUGCCUUCCCACCCCCACCCCCACGCCCAUCUUUACACAAUCUUUUAAAAAAUUAGCUGGACAUGGUGGCACAUACUUGUAAUCCCAGUUACUCAGAAGACUGAGGUGAGAAGAUCACUUGGGCACAGGAGUUCAAGGUUAGAGUGAGCUAUAAUCAGGCCACUGCACUCCAGCCCGGGCAACAAAGUGAGACUCUAUCUCUAAAAUAAAUAAAUUUUAAUUUUAAAAAAUU
rnacentral:lncRNA from 1 species